rnacentral:rRNA from 1 species
GACGAACGCUGGCGGCGUGCUUAACACAUGCAAGUCGAACGGAAAGGCCCCCAUCUUGGUGGGGGUGCUCGAGUGGCGAACGGGUGAGUAACACGUGGGUGAUCUGCCCUGUACUUCGGGAUAAGCUUGGGAAACUGGGUCUAAUACCGGAUAGGACCAUGGUUUAGUGUCUCAUGGUGGAAAGAUUAUUGUUUUGGUGCAGGAUGAGCUCGCGGCCUAUCAGCUUGUUGGUGGGGUAAUGGCCUACCAAGGCGUCGACGGGUAGCCGGCCUGAGAGGGUGGACGGCCACAUUGGGACUGAGAUACGGCCCAGACUCCUACGGGAGGCAGCAGUGGGGAAUAUUGCACAAUGGGCGCAAGCCUGAUGCAGCGACGCCGCGUGGGGGAUGACGGCCUUCGGGUUGUAAACUCCUUUCGGUAGGGACGAAGCCACGCUUUUGGGGUGUGGUGAUGGUACCUUUGUUAAGAAGCACCGGCUAACUACGUG